rnacentral:rRNA from 1 species
UACGUAGGGGGCAAGCGUUGUCCGGAAUCAUUGGGCGUAAAGCGCGUGUAGGCGGCCAGACAAGACCGCUGUGAAAACUCGAGGCUCAACUUCGAGCUGUCGGUGGAAACUUUCUGGCUAGAGUCCGGAAGAGGAGAAUGGAAUUCCUGGUGUAGCGGUGAAAUGCGCAGAUAUCAGGAAGAACACCCGUGGCGAAGGCGGUUCUCUGGGACGGUACUGACGCUGAGACGCGAAAGCGUGGGGAGCGAACAGG